rnacentral:rRNA from 1 species
AAGUGUGUUGUGAAAUGUAGACGCUCAACGUCUGACUUGCAGCGCAUACUGGUUUCCUUGAGUACGCACAACGUUGGCGGAAUUCGUCGUGUAGCGGUGAAAUGCUUAGAUAUGACGAAGAACUCCGAUUGCGAAGGCAGCUGACGGGAGCGCAACUGACGCUGAAGCUCGAAGGUGCGGGUAUCGAACAGGAUUAGAUACCCUGGUAGUCCGCACAGUAAACGAUGGAUGCCCGCUGUUGGUACCUGGUAUCAGCGGCUAAGCGAAAGCAUUAAGCAUCCCACCUGGGGAGUACGCCGGCAACGGUGAAACUCAAAGGAAUUGACGGGGGCCCGCACAAGCGGAGGAACAUGUGGUUUAAUUCGAUGAUACGCGAGGAACCUUACCCGGGCUUGAAUUGCAGAGGAAGGAUUUAGAGAUAAUGACGCCCUUCGGGGUCUCUGUGAAGGUGCUGCAUGGUUGUCGUCAGCUCGUGUCGUGAG